CCCAGACUCCUACGGGAGGCAGCAGUGAGGAAUAUUGGUCAAUGGCCGAGAGGCUGAACCAGCCAAGUCGCGUGAGGGAAGACGGCCCUACGGGUUGUAAACCUCUUUUGUCGGGGAGCAAAGCGAGUCACGUGUGACUCAUUGAGAGUACCCGGAGAAAAAGCAUCGGCUAACUCCGUGCCAGCAGCCGCGGUAAUACGGAGGAUGCGAGCGUUAUCCGGAUUUAUUGGGUUUAAAGGGUGCGUAGGCGGGAUGCCAAGUCAGCGGUAAAAAUGCGGUGCUCAACGCCGUCGAGCCGUUGAAACUGGCGUUCUUGAGUGGGCGAGAAGUACGCGGAAUGCGUGGUGUAGCGGUGAAAUGCAUAGAUAUCACGCAGAACUCCGAUUGCGAAGGCAGCGUACCGGCGCCCAACUGACGCUGAAGCACGAAGGCGUGGGUAUCGAACAGGAUUAGAUACCCCUGUA
rnacentral:rRNA from 1 species